GAUGAAGAACGUAGCGAAAUGCGAUAAGUAAUGUGAAUUGCAGAAUUCAGUGAAUCAUCGAAUCUUUGAACGCACAUUGCGCCUGCCAGUAUUCUGGCGGGCAUGCCUGUUCGAGCGUCAUUUCAACCAUCAAGCCCCCGGCUUGUGUUGGGGACCUGCGGCUGCCGCAGGCCCUGAAAACCAGUGGCGGGCUCGCUAGUCACUCCGAGCGUAGUAGUUACAUCUCGCUCAGGGCGUGCUGCGGGUUCCGGCCGUUAAAAGCCUUAUUUACCCAAGGUUGACCUCGGAUCAGGUAGGAAGACCCGCUGAACUUAAGCAUAUCAAUAAGCGGAGGA
rnacentral:misc_RNA from 1 species